rfam:Habropoda laboriosa contig23065, whole genome shotgun sequence.
UGGCGUAGCGCGCAAAGCCUCGGCUUGGUAAGCCGAAGGUCGCGGGUUCGAUUCCCGU